UACGAAGGGGGCUAGCGUUGUUCGGAAUCACUGGGCGUAAGCGCACGUAGGCGGUCUUUUAAGUCGGGGGUGAAAUCCUGGAGCUCAACUCCAGAACUGCCUUCGAUACUGGAGAGCUUGAGUCCGGGAGAGGUGAGUGGAACUGCGAGUGUAGAGGUGAAAUUCGUAGAUAUUCGCAAGAACACCAGUGGCGAAGGCGGCUCACUGGCCCGGUACUGACGCUGAGGUGCGAAAGCGUGGGGAGCAAACAGGG
rnacentral:rRNA from 1 species